UGACAGGAGCAAAUCAGGUUGU
rnacentral:siRNA from 1 species